rnacentral:rRNA from 1 species
AUUGAACGCUGGCGGCAUGCUUUACACAUGCAAGUCGGACGGCAGCGGGGUAGUGCUUUGCACUACUGCCGGCGAGUGGCGAACGGGUGAGUAACAUAUCGGAACGUACCGAGCAGUGGGGGAUAACUAAUCGAAAGAUUAGCUAAUACCGCAUAUAUUCUGAGGAAGAAAGCAGGGGACCUUUGGGCCUUGCGCUGUUUGAGCGGCCGAUAUCUGAUUAGCUGGUUGGUGGGGUAAAGGCCUACCAAGGCGACGAUCAGUAGCGGGUCUGAGAGGAUGAUCCGCCACACUGGGACUGAGACACGGCCCAGACUCCUACGGGAGGCAGCAGUGGGGAAUUUUGGACAAUGGGGGCAACCCUGAUCCAGCCAUGCCGCGUGUCUGAAGAAGGCCUUCGGGUUGUAAAGGACUUUUGUCCGGGAAGAAAAGCGCGAUGUUAAUACCAUUGCGUGCUGACGGUACCGGAAGAAUAAGCACGGCUA